GUAUUCAUCACCAACACUGGGAUAGCUGCAGCUAGGGCCACACAAUAAAAAUAGCCCAGGACGGCACUGGCUAUCCGCUGCCCCUUCAGCUAUAGAAUUCCUGUCCUUAAUCGCUUUUAGUUCUGUAACUGCUUGUGGAAACAGCUGAUUACUGGACAGGUGGGAGUACGAAAGGCGUUUAGUAAGACUGCAAAUCUGAUGUGAACUGGUAGGACGCAGAGUGUAUGGCAUAGUCAAGAAAGAAGUCAACGCCAGGCGAGGUGCUAUGGCUAAGGGAUUAAUCUUUUGUGUCCCAACUAUGUUGCUCUGACGGUUCCACUUGCACUACUGGUUUUUACUUCAUCGUUAAUCUCUGCUCUGGCCGAUAACAGCCUGCAUGAAAACAUCACCAGUUUUCAAGUUUUUCUCAGGAUGAACAGUACAUAGAAAAGUGAGCCUGAAUGCUGAGAUCCUGAGACCGUGCUGCGGCGCCUGGGAAUUCAUAGAGCAGCUUUUAAGGGGCCACCACUUCUCGCAUCGUGUGCCAUGCAAGUAAACCUACCCUAUCCUGAGACCCUUGCCUGGGGUGACUGGAAGAGCUGCUUCUGUAGAAUCCUGGGCCAGACCAUCUAUCUGGACGAAUAGGAGAAAAGCCUAGUUGUUGUCUCCUGCAAGAUGUAUUCAGUUGUAAUUUCGCCUUUGUUCCUUAAUCUGUUAGUAUGGUAUAUUACAUCGAUUAAUAUUUCAUAUUAAAUCAGUCAUGAAUUCCCAUUAUGAGCCCCACUUGCUCAUGAUUGAAGAUAUUUCUUAUAUGUUGCAGAUUGACUCUUGGUAUUAUUUGUCCAUUUUUGUACUCACCUAGCACACACAUACAAAAUUGCAGAUUUGUUAGGAUUAGAUAUCAUGCAAAACUUACUAUCUUAUGAAGUUCUUAAUACAUGUAUUGCUAUCCUUGGUUUUCCAUAAAAAAAUUUUAGAAAAAAUAAGUUAACUGCC
rnacentral:lncRNA from 1 species